rnacentral:rRNA from 1 species
AGUGAACGCUGGCGGUAGGCCUAACACAUGCAAGUCGAACGGCAGCACAGGAGAGCUUGCUCUCUGGGUGGCGAGUGGCGGACGGGUGAGGAAUACAUCGGAAUCUACUCUGUCGUGGGGGAUAACGUAGGGAAACUUACGCUAAUACCGCAUACGACCUACGGGUGAAAGCAGGGGAUCUUCGGACCUUGCGCGAUUGAAUGAGCCGAUGUCGGAUUAGCUAAUUGGCGGGGUAAAGGCCCACCAAGGCGACGAUCCGUAGCUGGUAUGAGAGGAUGAUCAGCCACACUGGAACUGAGACACGGUCCAGACUCCUACGGGAGGCAGCAGUGGGGAAUAUUGGACAAUGGGCGCAAGCCUGAUCCAGCCAUACCGCGUGGGUGAAGAAGGCCUUCGGGUUGUAAAGCCCUUUUGUUGGGAAAGAAAUCCAGCUGGCUAAUACCCGGUUGGGAUGACGGUACCCAAAGAAUAAGCACCGGCUAACUUCGUGCCAGCAGCCGCCGUAA